CAUUAGGAAUAGUAAAGGUUGGAAGAGACCUCUGGAGAUCAUUGAGUCCAACUCACUGCUACAGAAGCUCCCUUGAGCAGGUUGCACAGGAAAGCAUCCAGGCGAGUUUUGACUAUUUCCAGAGAAGGAGACUCCACAACCUCUUCAGGCAGCCUGUUCAAGUGCUCUGUUACACUCAAGGUAGAGAAGUACUUCCUCUUGUUGGUAUAGAACUUUUGCUCAUGGCCCCAUUCACUUGACUUCUGCCCUUUAAGUAUUUGUAAUCACUGAUAUGAUCUCCUUUCAGCUUCUCUUCUCCAGACUGAACAGUCCAAGGUUUCUCAAUCUUGUCUCAUAAGGGAGGUGAUCCAGGACCCCAGUCAUCUUUGUGACCUUCUGCUGGACUCUCUCCCCAGUAACUCUCUGACUUUCUCAAACUGAGGAGCCCAGACAUGGACACAGUACUCCAGAUGUGGCUUCACCAGAGCAGAGGAUCGCCUCCCUCAACCUGCUGGCCGCACACUUCUUAAUGCACCCCAGGAUACCUUUGGCCUUCUGGGCCACAAAGAAUGCCUGAUGAAGAGCAGCAGAGACCCCCCAGAUGCCUGCAAGGACUCAUCUCUUGUUGGUUUUGAAUCCGAUAUCCUGGUACCUCUAGAGACUCUCCGCCCUGUUCGUUUACUUCCAAAGAGACUUUAUGAAUGAUCUUCGACAGAACCACACCUUUGGUUUCACACAUCUCAGAG